GGAUUAGUAGCUUAAUCGGGAAAGCUCCAAAUUGUCAUUUUGGUAGAUGUAGGUUCAAGUCCUAUCUAAUUCG
rnacentral:tRNA from 1 species